CAGUAGCCACGGGAAUACAGAGGGUGCGAGCGUUAAUCGGAUUUACUGGGCGUAAAGCGUGCGUAGGCGGCUUCUUAAGUCGGAUGUGAAAUCCCUGAGCUUAACUUAGGAAUUGCAUUCGAUACUGGGAAGCUAGAGUAUGGGAGAGGAUGGUAGAAUUCCAUGUGUAGCGGUGAAAUGCGUAGAGAUCUGGAGGAAUACCGAUGGCGAAGGCAGCCAUCUGGCCUAAUACUGACGCUGAGGUACGAAAGCAUGGGGAGCAAGCAGGAUUAGAUACCCGCGUAGUCCCUGUCUCUUAUAC
rnacentral:rRNA from 1 species